rnacentral:rRNA from 3 species
UACGUAGGGGACGAGCGUUGUCCGGAAUUACUGGGCGUAAAGGGCGCGCAGGCUGUAGAUCAAGUCAGCUGUGAAAUGUCUGGGCUUAACCCGGGCAUGCGGUUGAAACUGAUGUACUGGAGUGCUGUAGAGGCAAGUGGAAUUCCCAGUGUAGCGGUGAAAUGCGUAGAUAUUGGGAAGAACACCGGUGGCGAAGGCGACUUGCUGGGCAGCAACUGACGCUGAGGCGCGAAAGCCAGGGGAGCAAACGGG